ACCUGCCCCGAAGUGGGGGAUAACGGCCCGAAAGGGUUGCUAAUACCGCAUGUGGCGACACGUUCAAUCGUGUCAUCAAAGCCGCGAGGCGCUUCGGGAGGGGCCUGCGUCCGAUUAGCUCGUUGGUGGGGUAACGGCUCACCAAGGCGACGAUCGGUAGGUGGUCUGAGAGGACGAUCACCCAGACUGGGACUGAGACACGGCCCAGACUCCUACGGGAGGCAGCAGUCGGGAAUUUUGCUCAAUGGGCGCAAGCCUGAAGCAGCAACGCCGCGUGAGGGAUGAAGGCCUUCGGGUUGUAAACCUCUUUUCUCAGGGACGAUGAUGACGGUACCUGAGGAAUAAGUCACGGCUAACUACGUGCCAGCAGCCGCGGUAAUACGUAGGUGACCAGCGUUGUCCGGAUUUACUGGGCGUAAA
rnacentral:rRNA from 1 species